UGAACACAUGCAAGUCGAACGAACCCUUCGGGGUUAGUGGCGCACGGGUGCGUAACGCGUGGGAACCUGCCUUUAGGUUCGGAAUAACAGUUAGAAAUGACUGCUAAUACCGGAUAAUGUCUUCGGACCAAAGAUUUAUUGCCUUUAGAUGGGCCCGCGUUGGAUUAGAUAGUUGGUGGGGUAAUGGCCUACCAAGUCGACGAUCCAUAGCUGGUCUGAGAGGAUGAUCAGCCACACUGGGACUGAGACACGGCCCAGACUCCUACGGGAGGCAGCAGUGGGGAAUAUUGGACAAUGGGCGAAAGCCUGAUCCAGCAAUGCCGCGUGAGUGAUGAAGGCCUUAGGGUUGUAAAGCUCUUUUACCAGGGAUGAUAAUGACAGUACCUGGAGAAUAAGCUCCGGCUAACUCCGUGCCAGCAGCCGCGGUAAUACGGAGGGAGCUAGCGUUGUUCGGAAUUACUGGGCGUAAAGCGCACGUAGGCGGCUUUUCAAGUCAGGGGUGAAAUCCCGGGGCUCAACCCCGGAACUGCCCUUGAAACUGGAUGGCUAGAAUACUGGAGAGGUGAUGUGGAAUUCCGAGUGUAGAGGUGAAAUUCGUAGAUAUUCGGAAGAACACCAGUGGCGAAGGCGACUCACUGGACAGUUAUUGACGCUGAGUGCGC
rnacentral:rRNA from 1 species